CCAGCGCUUGAGAGUCAUUGACGAGCUGAGUCCCGGGCGAGAGCUAUGCGGCCGGCAGAGCCCGCGCUGAGUCUCCGCGGCGGCGGCGGCGGCGGCGGCGCCCAGCCCUGAGCCCUCCGGCGUCCGGGUCCUCAGCUCCAGGGCGAGGCAGCUCGGCUAUCUUUCUCUAGAAAGAGAGAGAGAGAGAGAGAGAGAGAAAAAAAAAAAGUUUGACAGUGACUCGAUUGUAUCUGGGGACCGGAUACACAGGCAGGCUUGAGAAAACACCGCCUACUUUGCAGAGUGAGGUAGCUGCGGUCUUCCUGAUGCAUUUCUGUUCACACGCGUUCGAACACACGUCGUCAGCUCGCACACACACACACACACACACACACACACACACACACACACACAUACACACACAGAGGCCAAGGGAGAUGCAGAUUUUCUGACUCCGUGCACUCAUCUGAAGGAGGUGCGGAGUGUGUGUGUGUGUGUGUGUGUGUGUGUGUGUGUGUGUGUGUGUACGCGUUUUCGCACAGAGCGUUGUUUAUUCCAGUGAGUGCCUGUGAAGUCCAGCGUUGGAGAGCGGAGUAGUGUGCAAGCUAGCGAGGGAGAAAACACGCCUGGAGCAACAGUAAUCAAUAUGUGACUUUCCUCAUCCUCAGAGAAAUCCCCGCUGUCCCCAGGCACCCAUGCAAGGAAAGUCACUUGAUUAUGAAAGUGUUUCAGAAGAAAAGCAGACGCCCGGUGGAGAGAGAGGCAGUGGCUCCUCGGAGGGAAAAGCCUCUCUUAAGACAUGUUUUGCAGCUUCAUGAAACUGCAAUCUGCUGAACGGUAUUAGGGGUCUACCCUUCAGCCAUCUCCUAUCAGCCCACACUGAAUGCACUCCAACGCCCCUUGACACCCAAUAGCUUUGUUGUCUGGUUCACCUCUGUUCAUCUUACUAAACUUCCAAAUAGCAAUCUGAUAUUUUUUCUAAACUAAAUAGUCAUUGAUGAUAUUUAUAAAAUAUUUUGUGCAUAAAAGCUGAACUGUUAGUCAAGAAUUUACAUCAGUAGGAGAUCAAUGAUUCAAAGAUGCCUGUUUUAUACAUACACACACCCACACCCACACCCACACCCCCCCCCCCCCCCCCCACACACACACUCCCCUGGCUCUAAAUUCCUCAUCUUCUACGACUGAACGGUCUCAAAACUUGCUUUUGCCUAAACUCCUAUCACAAACGUCCACAAGUCAAGACCGGUUUGCGUGUGAUCUAGCAGUCUCCAAAAAGGAAAGUGAUGCAUUGAAGUAGAGAAGAUGGUACUCUGCAGUGUUGCUUUGGGUGGUUCCUGCUCUCAGGCCAAGGACCAAGAUGAGAUGGAGUUGACUGCAUUUGUCCAAAUUCCAACUGACUAAUCAACACAAGAAAAGGUCCUGUUAUCUCCAGGGGAGGAUCAACUCUACUCUGCUGCCCCCAUGAGGUGCAGAACCUGCUCUUCUAAAUGCUGCAGCCAGUGAAACUCUCGUGACCCUGAGACCAACUCUUCCCUACUGCCAAAGGUGGCAAGGGCCAAGGCACUGAGGACUGUACCCAGGAGCCACAAAAGAUCUACUACUGAGCUUUCUCUCCAAUCCAAUAUACUUAUCCUGGUUGCUGAAACAGAGACCAUCACAUGACAGUAUGGACUUCCAGGAAUACUCCAACAAGGUUCUUUGUUAUGUCCAUUUAGGACUGCACCUAUGACUGAUAAUCUAAGGUUUGGGAGCAAAUACACUGGAACUAUAAUGGACAUCUACUUGCCAAACAUUUUCAUGGAAUGACUGUGAAAAUGCUCUGCACCAAGUAGUGUGACCAGCAGUCUCCGCUUCCUGUUGACAUGCGCUUCCACUUUAGACUGGUUCUUCUCUAGUUCUCAUCUAAAUUCAUCCCUUCUUCUUUCAAGACAUUUUGUUGCAACAUUGCAAACAGUAACAGGUAAGACCUUCAAAAGUCUUUGCCCUAGGAUCUAUGUGGAUGGUAUGUAUAUUAAUUGGACCAAAUUAUGCUAUUUGCAUUAUUUUUCUAAAUCUCUUUACUACCUGAUCAUCAUAAAAAGACUAAAUGUUGUUUAAAAUAAAAUUAUGAGUACAAUUUUAUGAUGCAAAUUUAUAAAUUGUGAAAAUGAGUUGAGAAAUUUCAAAUUAUUCCAACCUUAAUAUUAAAUAUUAACUACUUAUGGUUGAGAGCAAGAAAAGAGCCACAAUGGAAAAACAGCAUCAAAGAUAUUUUUCUCUUUGCUAUUGGCAAAAUAUGUUCAUUAAUUUUACAAAUGAAUAUAAAAUCUUCAAUGAAAUUUCCUUUCCUCAUGUAAACAGUUACUUUCACAAGAAAUAUUUAUAAUAGCUUACAUUUGAACCUCAUUAAAGUUUGAUCUCAACCUUUCUGUCGCAGAUAUUUCAGAGUUAGUGAUUCAAGUGAAGGCCAAUUUAAAACUCUAAUAGUCUUCAGGAAGUGAUUAAUGGGCAAAGAGCAUGUUUAGCUACAGCAGGUCAAACUUCUGCUCUUUACCCAUGGCACUUAAGAAUGUCUUUAAUAUACUAACAUGCAAAUGUCAGGUACAGGGGAUUACCAAAACUUAUCUUUGUCCAAAUAUUUGGUACCAUAAGCAGUAUAGCUCAGGGUUUGAACACUUUGGUUAUCCCUGUAGUACCCCAUGCUUACUUUCUUCACAAUUCUACUGAUGAUAUGAAUAAAAAUAGGAGAGAUGUUGGAGCAAGGGCUCAAUAGAUGAAGUACUUGUUGUACGAGCGUGAGGACUUGAAUUCAGAUCCCCAGCAUCCACUUGAAAAGUAAGUAUGGUGGUGUGCAUCUGAAAGCUCCACCUUGGGAAGGGGUAGGAAGGUGUGAAGACAGGUAGAUCCCAGAGGCUCACUAAUCAGUCUGUCCAAUCAUGGACCUCCAUUUUAGUGAGAGAUAUUUCCAAAAAAGGAGUGGGAUAGCAAUAGACACACAAAGGAUAGAGGAAGACACACAAAGUCAAUCACUGUCAUACAGCACACAUAAAUAAUACCUACACAAUUCUAACAGUAAGUUGGAAGUCUCUUAUAUUAACUAUCUGUUACUGUCCUCUCUAAGGUAGUAGUGAUGGUGUUGUAGAGAAAAAGAAGCAGUGGAUAAAUUCUGCCUUUCAUUCAAUUUAUCUAUCAGAUACUGCUGGAAGUUUGUAUAUUAUGUGUAAUACUUUUCAUCAUUCCAUUUCUAUACCUUAUUGGCUAUUUUAGAAUUUGUGAAUAAAUAGAAAUAUAUCUGUGUCACAUUAAUUUCCAGCAUGGAAGUUUGACUUGAACAUUAGGUACUUAUAUUACUUUACUAAUGUAUACCUUGUAUUUAGGGUUAUUAUCACAAUUGUAAGUUAAAUUAAAUUAGAGGAGUGUUGUCACAGCGUUUCAAAAGAAGCAUAUGCACCUAAUUCAUCUAGACCUGCCUUUGCUUCUCUAGGGGUGAAUAUGAUGAAGAAUCAAAGGGAAAAAUGUGGCCCGGUCAGAUGAUGUAUACUGCAGUGUUUGCGCCUGCUUUUGUUGUUUCUUUGCUAAAUUAAUCAAUGAUUUAUAUUUAAAGUAUCUAUAUCAUUUAUAGAAUCAAAAAUCCAUAGUAAUUUCAAGUUUUGAAAAUUGAUUAAAUAUUAUUAAUUCAUUUAUUUUCCACCCCAGUCAGAGUUUCCCUUCCCUCCUCUCCUCCCAGUCCCUCCCCUACCCCAUGCCCUCUUCUCCUACCCCCCAAAUCCACUCCUCCUCUGCUUUUGUUCAGGAAAUGGUAGGUCUCCCAUGGAUAUCAACAAAACAUGGCAUAUCAAGUUGCAGUAAGACUAAGUUCCUCCCAUUGAAUUAAGGCUAGGCAAGGCAACCCAGUAUGAUGAGUAGUAGGGUCCCAAAUGCCUGUAAAAGAGUCAGAGACAGCCUCUGCUCCCACUGUUAGGGGUUCCACACAUGUCACAUACAUGCUGAGGACUUAGGGCAGUCCCAUACAGGCUUGCUGGUUGUUGGUUCAGUUUCUGUGAAUCUCUAUGAGCCUGGGUUAGUUGAUUCUGGUUUUUCUUUUUUUCCUUUUCUUUUUUUUUUUUCAUAGUGUCCUUGACCCUUCUGGCUCCUACAAUCCAUUCUCCCCUCUUAGUCAGGAUUCCCUGAGCUCCACCUAAUGUUUGGCUGUGGGUCUGUAUCUGUUUGCAUCAGUUGCUCCAUGAAGCCUCUCUGAUGACAGUUGGGCUAGGCACCAAUCUAUGAGUAUGGCAGAAUAUCAUUAGGCAUUUGCACUGACAUUUUUUUCCCCUCAAGUAGAAACACUGGCAUUCCUUAAACAUACCUUAUAUUUUCCAUUUUAGUUAACACGCCUUCAGUAUGUCUUCUGUACCUGGUAAGAUCACAUCAGGGCUUUGAUAAUCAUAUUCUGAGAUGAUAUCUCUUCACACACAUCUCUUUUAAAUCCGUCAAAAAACAUCUCUACAAAUUCUGUUGAGAUCCUUUACAAUUAUAGAUGAAAUAGUUUUUCUUAGGCAAACUAGAUGACAUCUUUAUAACUGUUUAUGAUACAUAUUUUAUUUUAUUUUUAAAAUUCUUUUGCCUUUUAUUGAUUCUUUGUGAAUUUCACAUCAUGUAUCCCAAUCCCACUUAUUGUCCCAUCCCCUCACAACCUCCUUCUGCCCUUACAAUAUUCCCCCAAAACGAAAUAAAAUUUAAGAAAAAAUCCAAAGACCAAAUGUAACAAACAAAAAAGAAGGAGGAGGAGGAAGAGCAAAGCAGCAGCAGCAGCAGCAGCAGCAGCAGCAGCAGCAGAAGAAGAAGAAGAAGAAGAAGAAGAAGAAGAAGAAGAAGAAGAAGAAGAAGAAGAAGAAGAAGAAGAAGAAGAAAUGAAGAAACUCAUCGUGGAAGCUGGGUGUGGCCCAUUGAGUCACACAAGUUUCCCUUUAGUCCAUUCAUCUUUACUUACAAGUGUUAAUUUCCAGGAGUCAUUAGUCUGACUGGAGGCCUCUGGCUUCUGCUACACCGCCAAAAAUGGUCUCUCACUGAGGCUCCUCUUGGAUAUGCUGUUAUUGCCCUGUAUUAAUGGGGAUCCUGCUGGUUUGGAUCUGUAAGUUCACAUGCUCCAGCAGUUCAUAGAUGAUGUGGAUGUUGGGGUGGGCUAACUCAUAGCCCUGGUUCCAGGCCUGAGUGGUAGCUCGGUUGGUCAGACCACCAGCUUUCCCUCAUCUUCACUACCUGGGCAAGCUUUCCAGCACUACCUUGGCUAGCUCACCUAAUACAGUCCGCAGCAAGGAGCAAGGCUAGUUCUCCUCUCACGGCCUUAUGUCCAGAUUACCCACACUCAUCACCAGGGCCUAUUCUACUAUUUUGCCUAGGCAAGGUACGGACGGGGUCCUCUCUCCUCUUUGCUGUAAGGGAUAUGUGGGGGUUUGGGGUGUGUGUGGGGUCAGCUCUCCUGCUCUCAUCCCUUCAGGGCUGGCUCCUCUGCUCCCCUGGUAACAGGAUCAGUUCUAGUGUGCUGCCCAGGCAGGGUCCUAUCCUACCCCCACCCCCUAUAACCCCUAUAAUCAGUUCUAGUGUGCUACCUAGGUGAGGUGCACACCAGUGGUAAGGGAUGGGGCCAUCUUUCCCAAGUACAGGACGCCGGUUAUCCCCUGAAGGGAGGAUCCAGAUCUCCUGUUGCAGUAUCCAGCAAGGGGCAGGACCAGCUAUUCCAGGGUCAGUGAAGGGUGAGGCUGGUUCAGCAUAGCACGGUUCCAAUGGUGCUCUGUGCUACCAUGAACUAUGGACAUCAUUAUAGAUUCCAGCUGCAGCAGGACCAGAGACCCAGACAAGGCUCUCAGCAGAAGCUCAGGCCCAGAUGUCUCCAUGGCCCCACAAGCCCACUCAGAUCAGCAUGGCCCUGGUAGCUGCAUGACCCUUGGACACCCUAAUGGCCACAGGUUGUGUCUUAGACCUUGAGCAUCUGUGUGAUCUUUGGUGGCAACAUGGGCCAGGGACAUCAACACAGACCCUGGCUGUGGUAGGACCCCGGACCUAGAUAUAGUCCUCAGCAACAUCCUGGGCCCAGAUGUCACCACGACCCCCGGUGGCAGUGCAGUCUACUCAGACUGACAUGGCUUCUAUGGCUUUUGGAUACCAACAUGGCCCCAGGUGGCAGCCCAGACUCCAGGCCUCUGCAUGGCCCUCAGUAGCAACAGAAGCUCCAGACAUCAACACAGACCCUUUUGGCUGAUGCAGGGCAUCAGACCAAUACCCAGCCCUGGCAAUAGCCCAGGUCCAGACAUCAUUUUGGACUCAGGUGGCUAGCAGACCAUUCAUGUAGGCCUGUUCCUCAUCACCCUCACCUCUUCUUUAUGCUUCUCUUCCCAGCCCACGAAACCACUCUGCCACUUUCUCGCUUCCAUUUCCCCACCUUGCUCACAAUAAUAGUGCUAGAUGGCCUGGUGCCAGGAAUCCUGGUUGAGUCACAGGUGGCACUUGUUUGAGCCCUGCAUGCCCCAGCAGCAAGGCAUGGCACAGAGCUAUUGCUUUUCUUCUCUCGCAUACCAGGGCCAAACCACAGGUGGCGCUUGGUGUGAUGAUGCCUGAUUGCCUAGUGUGAGACAGGCUCUUGCUUUAUUGUGUCCUGCCCAGACCAGGAGGUCUGUGGGGGUGGGGAGCAUCUGUGUCCCUUGCUGGCUUAGGCCCAAAUUUUAUUUUUUUACACUACCUUUUUUAAUGUCUUACAUCACUUUUCUCCAUCUACAAAUAUAAAGACUUGAAAGAUAAAGGUAACAAUUGCAUUCCUUUGUAUACCACAAUAUCUAGCAGAUUGUGGUGCAAAUAACAUUAAAUAAAAAUUGGAUUAAUCUUCCUCAAGACCCAGCCAUACCACUCUCGGGCAUAUACCCAAGGAAUGCUCAAUCACACCAUAAGGACACAUGCUGAACUAUGUUCAUAGCAGCAUUAUUCAUAAUAGCUAGAACCUGGAAACAACCUAGAUGCCCCUCAACCAAAGAAUGGAUUAAGAAAAUGUGGUACAUUUACACAAUGGAGUACUACUCAGCAGUGAAAAAAAAUGAUAUCAUGAAAUUUGCAGGCAAAAGGAUGGAACUAGAAAAUAUCAUCCUGAGUGAGGUAACCCAGACUCAGAAGGACAAACAUAGUAUGUACUCACUCAUAAGCGGAUACUGGAUAUAAAGCAAAGGGUAAUCAGACUACAGCCCACAGCUGCGGAGAAGCUAGCUAGCAAGGAGGACCCAAAGAUGGAUGCAUGGGUUGCCCUGGGAAGGGGAAAUAAAUGAGAUCUCUUGAGUAAACUGGGGAUGAGAGGAGGCCAUGGAGAGUAGGGGAUGGGGGAUAAGAACAUAAGGGAAUGGGAUGGUUGAGCUGGAACAGGGAUGGAGUGGGAGAGCAACGAAAGAGAUAUCAUAAUAGAGGGAGACAUCACGGGUAUAGGGAGAAACUGGGUUUCUAAGGGAGUUCCCAUGAAUCCACAAAGAUAACCCCAGCUUAGACUACUAGCAAUAGUGGAGAGGGUACUUGAACAGGUUUACUCCAGUCAGCAGAUCAGUGAAUACCCUGUCAUCAUAGAGCCUUUCUCCAGUAACUGAUGGAAGCAGAUGCAGAGAUUCACAGCCAAGCAACAGACUGAGCUCCAGGAGUCCAGUCGAAGAUAGAGAAGAGGGAUUCUAUGAGCAAGGGGCAUCAAGAUCAUGAUGGGGAAUCCUAUAGAGACAACCAAACCAAACUAGUGGGAACUCAUGAAAUUUAGAUCAACAGCUAUGGAGCCUGCAUGGGACUGGACUAGGCCCUCUGCAUAGCGAGACCAUUGUGUAGCUUGAUCUGCUUAAGGAGGCCCCUGGAAGUAGGGUCAGAAUCCAUCCUUGGUGCAUGAGCAGGCUUUUUGAAGCCCACUACCUAUGACAGGAUACCUCACACAGCCUUGAGGCAGGGGGAGGGGCUUGGACCUGCCUCUACUAAAUGUACCUCCCCAUGGGAGGCCUUAACUUCUUGUA